UUAAAGAUCUAUAUAAGUACAACAAAUUGAAUCAAAUAAACAAAACAUAGUACUUUUAAAAUAUAAAGUGAUCAAUACAUUUCUAUCUGUUGUAAGCUUAAUUAGGAAGAAAAAUAUGGCUGAAAUUAUAAAGUUUAUUUAUUUAAUGAUCUUCUUUAUUUCCUUAUCUUAUGUAGUGGUUGAAGUUGCUGGAUCACAGGAAAUGGAUUUAAUUUGCCAAUUUAGCAGUGAUUGUGAAAAAUUUAAGUGCCAUGGUCUUACGGUUCCAACAUGCAUUACUCGUCAUUGUAGAUGUUGUUAUGUAAUGAAGCCCAUAGGAUAUGAAUGAAAGUAAUUCUAUUAGUAGUGAAAUGAAAUUGAUGGUAAAACAAACAAUAUGUUGAAGGACUUUGUGUAAUGAGGCAGCUAUAAAUAAUUGUAAUAAUUUGGAUUAGUCGGUCCUAAGACCGGAUACCAUGUUUUCAAAAAAAAUAAAUAAAUAAUUGUAAUAAGGAUCUUUGUUAGUCAUGCAUGAAUUGGGAAGUUUAAAUAAUAUUAUUGAAGUCUCAUCAAUCAA